UAAAAUUACAUUUUUUUGCAAUCUGGUCUUUCUGGCACAAGGGUGCGAUUUGCGCACCUACCCCCCGAUUUUUCGGCCACCGGCCUAAGGCAUGGCCCCUCUCCUCCCUAGCUACCUGCUCCCUGCAAAAAGAAGAAGAAAUCAGCAUAAAAGGGGAAUUUGUUCCCCAAAAAAAGAAACGAUCCAAGAAGCAAAAAAAAAACCAAGCAAUCUAAGAGAAAAAAACAAAAAAAAACAGCAAGCAAAAGGAAGCCAAAACAACAAAAAAAAUAACAUGGCCGUCCCCCACCUCUGCUGUGGCCACUGUUGUUCCACCUUUCCGAGCCCCUUACCAUCGCCACCUAAAAGCCAACAAAGCAACCAAAAAAGCAAGCAAAAAACUAAAAAAAAUAGCAACUGAAAUUAGAAAAAGAAAGAGAGAAGGAGAAGAGGUUGAGAGAACCACCGCCACCGCCAUCGUCGCAUCACCGGACGAAAC
rnacentral:lncRNA from 1 species